rnacentral:lncRNA from 1 species
CUCCAAUUAAAUCGCACAGGUGCUGAAAAUCCUUUGUCAUUAGUCUUCCUAUAUAGAGCUGUCCUUCUCUGUUGUCUGGAUGGAGUCCUUACCCUAUGUGCAUCGAUGUUUCUCGUCUCCCGAGACUUCCCCUUAUCCUUCUCGUUUUUUCCGAGUUCCCGUUUCAUCCGUUUCCCUGUUUUGUUUUGUUUGUCUCCCAUGACUGUUUAUUUUGUAUUUUUCCUUUGUUACAAUAAAUCAUACCCUGCAAUUGGAUCCUACCCUCUCCUUGUGUUUUCCUAAACCCAAUCGUCACAGAAGGACUCCAUCGCCAAGGAUCCAGCGGUAUGUCUACUACCAUUUCCUCCCCAGCCAGCAAGCGGGAGAGAAAUGGUUUCGAGGGCUCUCGCCUAGUGGUGUUCCGGGGAACCAGGGGAGGUCGCUCCGGAGCAAAUAGUCGGGAGGAGAUCCGGCAGCGAUCUCCACUGUGGGCUCCCGUCGACCCGGGAUUCGGUUGGGGGCCGCCAUUUCCCCAGUAUGUCCCGAGAGGAGAAGGGAGACGCAGAUCAGCUGAGCCAGCGCCGUGGUACCAGAUGGCCGCCAGUCCUGUGCUGCUGCACAAAAUGGCCGCCAAUCCAGCGCCGCUGCGCAAGAUGGCCGCCAACCCAGCACCACGAGGCAAGAUGGCCGCCAGCUCAGAGUCACAGCCCAAGAUGCUCACCAGCCCAGCGCCACAGCACAAGGUGGCCGCCAGUCCAGCGCCACGGCACAAGGUGGCCACCAGCCCAGCGCCACGGCACAAGGUGGCCGCCAGCCCAGCGCCACGGCACAAGAUGGCCGCCAGCCCAGCGCCACACCCCAAGAUGGCCGCCAGCCCAGCGCCACAGCACAAGAUGGCCGCCAACCUAGCGCCACAGCCCAAGGUGGCCACCAGCCUAGCGCCACAGCACAAGAUGGCCGCCAGCCCAGCACCACAGCACAAGAUGGGUGACUCAACGCCUGAGUCACCAGUCAAGGUGCCACAGACUCGCAAUCAUAGAGGGCGGAGGUCGAGGAGACAGGCGUCUACCAUUCCUCAAAGCCUGGAGAACGUUCCCGAGCGGGCCGCUGCCGUCCAGGGGGACGUUCCCGAGUGGGCCGCUGCCGUCCAGGAGGACGCUCCCGAGCGGGCCGCUGCUGUCCCCGAGGCGGUGCCUGAGCAGGUCGCUCCAGUGGUCGAGGCGGUGCCCGAUGCUGUUC